rnacentral:ribozyme from 1 species
UUCUUAGAUUUUUUUUUUUGUCCUCUUUCUUUUUCCUCGCGAGGCAACAAUUUUUAAGACAACAACGCGGCAUUUCUUGUGAGCUCUAUAGUAUUGAAAA